ACGACUCUCGGCAACGGAUAUCUCGGCUCUCGCAUCGAUGAAGAACGCAGCGAAAUGCGAUACUUGGUGUGAAUUGCAGGAUCCCGCGAACCAUCGAGUCUUUGAACGCAAGUUGCGCCCGAAGCCUUUCGGCCGAGGGCACGCCUGCCUGGGUGUCACUCAACUGUCGCCCCCACCCCCUUCUGACAGGAGGGA
rnacentral:rRNA from 1 species